rnacentral:rRNA from 1 species
GACGAACGCUGGCGGCGUGCUUAACACAUGCAAGUCGAGCGGUAAGGCCCUUUCGGGGGUACACGAGCGGCGAACGGGUGAGUAACACGUGGGUGACCUGCCCUCAGCUCUGGGAUGAGCCCGGGAAACUGGGUCUAAUACCGGAUAUGACUCCAUGACGCAUGUUGUGGGGUGGAAAGCCUUGUGCGGCUGAGGAUGGGCCCGCGGCCUAUCAGCUUGUUGGUGGGGUGANGGCCUACCAAGGCGACGACGGGUAGCCGGCCUGAGAGGGCGACCGGCCACACUGGGACUGAGACACGGCCCAGACUCCUACGGGAGGCAGCAGUGGGGAAUCUUGCGCAAUGGGCGAAAGCCUGACGCAGCGACGCCGCGUGAGGGAUGACGGCCU